rnacentral:rRNA from 1 species
GGAGGGCAAGUCUGGUGCCAGCAGCCGCGGUAAUUCCAGCUCCAAUAGCGUAUAUUAAAGUUGUUGCGGUUAAAACGCUCGUAGUUGGAUUUGCGGCCUCGGAGAACGGUCCCCCGAAAGGGUGGUCACUGUCUCUCCUAGCCUAAAUUCGAGUCGUCUCUAGGUGCUCUUUAUUGGGUGCUUAGAGUGACUAGAACUUUUACUUUGAAAAAAUUAGAGUGCUUAAAGCAGGCGAAAUAGCCUGAAUAAGGUGCAUGGAAUAAUGGAAUAGGACCUCGGUUCUAUUUUGUUGGUUUUCGGAACCCGAGGUAAUGAUUAAGAGGAACAGACGGGGGCAUUCGUAUUCCGGCGCUAGAGGUGAAAUUCUUGGACCGCCGGAAGACGGACAACUGCGAAAGCAUUUGCCAAGAAUGUUUUCAUUAAUCAAGAACGAAAGUAGAGGUUCGAAGGCGAUCAGAUACCGCCCUAGUUCUGACCGUAA